UACACACUGCCGCUGGGGAGGAAGGACGACACCUUUGGCUCCCUGGGAUACACACUGCCGCUGGGGAGGAAGGACGGCACCUUCUGCUCCCUGGGGUACACACUGCCGCUGGGGAGGGGGGUAACAAGCUCCUCUCCCAUACAUACUUUCAGCCGCUGGGGAGAGGGGAUAACAAGCUCCUCUCCCUGACACUCUCUCUGCUGUUGGAGGGGGAGACUGUCUCCCCUUUCAAUAAUUUGUCCUGUUGCUGGGGAGAGGUGAUAACCGGUUCCUCUCCCUGGAACACUCUCUGCUGUUGGAGAGGGGGACCAACUGUCUCCCCUUUUAAUAUAUUGCCCUGCUGCUGGGGAGCGAGACCGACUGUAUCCACUUCCUGCAGGACACACUGCCACUGGGGAGGAAGUACAGCACCUUCAGCUCCCUGGGAUACAUACUGCCGCUGGGGAUCUGGGCUGACUGCCCAGCAUCCCUGUAGGGCCUGUAGAGAGACCUCGGUCCCAUUCCCACCUGCCAGCUGGGUGUCUUCCCAGGACAAGUCAAUAAGGUCUUCCAUCUCUGGGGCUGGUUGGGACAUAUGUGGUACAGUACCAAAGUCUCCUGAUAACAGGCUUGGUUGCUGGGGAGGAGGAACUAAACUCAAUGCUUCCGGUGGUAUACAGUCAAUAAGCCCCAUCAUGUCAAAGACAGGCGGCGUUAUACGUUGGAAUAGGCAAACAUAAUCCUGUUCUAGUUCCCACUCUCGGUUGGCAAGAAAAGAUAGAUCUGGCUGAAUGGCAUCGAUCUCUGUAAGGUCCCAGUUGUCUGCCCGCUCAGCUCGGAUGGACCAGAAGCGAGCAAUGUCGGUGUCUCCGAACCAGAGACUAGUUUCAAUAGUAUCCCACAACAAACCAGGGCCGUCGUAGUCUUCCCCCUCAAUACACUUGUACUCAAUCAGCCAUGGGUAGAGGUGGUAAACAUGCCACCGCAGGGCCCGAUAGGAAUCAUCCAGCCACACCUCAGUCUCAACUAGCGUCUCCAGUUCGCUUACCCAUUCCUCUGAGGGCUGGUUUCCCAAUAACGGCAUCCGCAGCUCUAGUUGUUCUGC